GAUGAACGCUAGCGACAGGCCUAACACAUGCAAGUCGAGGGGCAGCACAUGAUGCAGCAAUGCGGAUGGUGGCGACCGGCGCACGGGUGAGUAACACGUAUGCAACCUGCCUUCAACCGGAGGAUAACCCGUUGAAAGACGGACUAAUACUCCAUAACACAGGGGUCCCGCAUGGGGAUAUUUGUUAAAGAUUAAUCGGUUGAAGAUGGGCAUGCGUUCCAUUAGCUUGUUGGCGGGGUAACGGCCCACCAAGGCAACGAUGGAUAGGGGAACUGAGAGGUUUAUCCCCCACACUGGAACUGAGACACGGUCCAG
rnacentral:rRNA from 1 species